rnacentral:rRNA from 1 species
GAUGAACGCUAGCGGCAGGCCUAACACAUGCAAGUCGAGGGGUAGAGUUAGCUUGCUAACUUGAGACCGGCGCACGGGUGCGUAACGCGUAUGCAAUCUACCUUGUACAGGGGGAUAGCCCAGAGAAAUUUGGAUUAAUACCCCAUAGCGUUAUGAUAAGGCAUCACAUUAUAACUAAAGUUCCAAAGGUACAAGAUGAGCAUGCGUCCCAUUAGCUAGUUGGUGUGGUAACGGCAUACCAAGGCAAUGAUGGGUAGGGGUCCUGAGAGGGAGAUCCCCCACACUGGUACUGAGACACGGACCAGACUCCUACGGGAGGCAGCAGUGAGGAAUAUUGGUCAAUGGGCGCAAGCCUGAACCAGCCAUGCCGCGUGCAGGAUGACGGUCCUAUGGAUUGUAAACUGCUUUUAUACGGGAAGAAACACUCCUACGUGUAGGAACUUGACGGUACCGUAAGAAUAAGGAUCGGCUAACUCCAUGCCAGCCGCCGCGGUAAAAC